AGUCUGGGACGCGCCGCCGCCAUGAUCAUCCCUGUACGCUGCUUCACUUGUGGCAAGAUCGUCGGCAACAAGUGGGAGGCUUACCUGGGGCUGCUGCAGGCCGAGUACACCGAGGGGGAUGCGCUGGAUGCCCUGGGCCUGAAGCGCUACUGCUGCCGCCGGAUGCUGCUGGCCCACGUGGACCUGAUCGAGAAGCUGCUCAAUUAUGCACCCCUGGAGAAGUGACCACGCUGGAACCCACCCACCCGCUGUGCUGACCAUGGGCCCUGAGCGUCCUGCCCCGAAUUCACGAGGCUGAGGCAUCCGGGAGCUGGCGUAAUGCCUGGCCGCAGUGUAUGUUGGAGGCAUGGUCUCGCUGCCCACAAAGAGCCACCACCGUCUUGCAGCAGCUGUCUGGGACCACACGGCCACCGGCCUCCUGUGAGCGGAUCCACUCACUGUCUCGCCAGUCCUGUGAGUUGUUGCUGCCACAGCAGUGGAACUGCAUCAAGAACAAGGCUGGGGUUGAGACCUGGGGCCAGAGGCUCCUGCAGAGGUCCAGGGAGGCCCUGGGGAUGCACGCGCCCUCCCAGCACCACCCACCCA
rnacentral:lncRNA from 10 species